rnacentral:lncRNA from 1 species
AUGAAGAAAAGAGGGGGGACAAUGUGGAAAAGUUUUCUUAACGAUCGCUACUGGCCACAAAAGUCCCCCAAACCCAGUUUGCAGAGAGAUUCAGCCAAAAAAAAAAAAAAAACAAGNNNNNNNNNNCCACCAGAGCCCGAGCUCGGGGCUCUCCUGGGGCCCCAGUUCACCCGUCAUGGGGAAUGGUCCCGUGCUGCUCCCCGCAGCCCCGUGGGUGGCUGUGGGGGGCUCCCGGCCUCUUCUCUUCACCCCCUUUGUCUCUCCACAGUUUAUCUUGUGACUCUGGUGCAUGCCGAAGCCGCUGCCGGCAGCGUGGUCCCGACUAACCGCACGGCGCCGAGGGCUGCGUCUAACCACGGGCUCCAGAGCCACUUUCCAGCCAGCCCCACACCCAAGGGGGACCUCCUCAGGCUGGUCACCAAGACAGUGAUGGGACCACGGGUCACUCAGAUGGCCCAGAGGAUGAUGCACUGGGGAACACAACCCAGCACAGGCAGCAAGUGAUGUCCCUCGGUGGGGACAGGCCACCAGCACCCACCAGGUGGCUGCUCCCCCCUGCAGGGCCACCCCUUUCUGAACAGAGAGGGGCUGGGGGGUGAGAGCUUCCAUGAAAGAGCCAGGUUACUCCUUUGCUCUGCCCCAGCACCUUGGGGCUCCCAGCCCCUGCUCCCCAUUUCCCUCAGCUGGGAGAGGAGUCUGUCUGUGUGUCUGUCCAUCCGUCCCCCCUUUGCUGGUGUCCCCAGAGCUGUCUGAAGAGGGGAGGCAGCAGCACAAGCAGGACAUGAUGUGCAGAUCCCCCUUUACCAGCUGCAGCGACAGCGGGUGGGGGGUCAGGUCACCCCAUAAGUGAUGUGAGCAGAGGUCUGGGGUGCUGGGGUGCACCAUCCUGCCCAGGCCAUGCCAACCCAAGCUGGCCAGGGCUGCUCCUGCUCGUGCUGGGACCCCGCUGCCGCCCUUCACCCAGUGUGGUGGGACUGGGCAUGGCCGUGGUGGGACUGGGCACAGGAGUGUGUUGAGGAUGCUCUGGGGAAGGGGCUGCCUCCCUGGUGCCCUGCGGGUCCCCACAGCCCCAAAGAUGUCCCUACUGCCUGUAACGUCUGCUGUCAACAUGGCAAGUGUGCAAACAGCCUGCAGUCUGGUGUCUUUGUGGGGUCUGGGAGGCUGGGGGGAGCCGGAGGGGGAUGGGUUGGGGGUCCCCCAGCUCCCAUGU